GCCCAGCACGAUAGUGGUGGCACUGAUGCUCAAUCGUUCGGUAAGCAAAUUUCGUGAUUCAAACUGGUUGAUGAACGGGGUAAUGGCGAGAACGUAGUCCAUCGCCACCCGCGAAUGGUCCAACACAACUGCUUACAUUCGCCAGAUUUUCUGCGGACAGGCCCCCACAUCCAACCCACACUGGUUCAGUUGUGCUGUUUGGCCACACUCACGAAGAGAUCCACCGUUUGUCAUUACAUUCCAUUUGAUUAUUUUUGCAUCUGCAAAUUGGACUUCGUUCACCGAGAAACGUACAGCGUUUCACACAGGGGUUGAAAAACCCACCCCGACUACAUUACAACUGAUCCACCGGCCGUCCGAAAUUGUUCGUCCUACUACGCUUGCGUCCGGAAGAAUCGAUAUCAUGAAUACACUGAAUACUCUUA